AGGGUGAUAGCGAUGAGACAAGACUGAGAUCUCCUGACCAGGAAUCCUAACAUGGUGGUGGCCUGUGGAUGACCUCUGGGGGACCAGGGCCCCUCCCCCAACUUGAUCAAUAUUCUGCAUCUGAGCCUUCUUCCCAAGAGAAGUUUCAGCACAUUUACCAGAUUUUCAGAGUCUGUGGCUCCUUCUCUCGAGCUGCAUCAGUGAAGUCCCAAGGUCCUCCCAGCAGCCCUUCAAGGUAUGGAGACGAGGCUGUUCCCUGCAAAAGCACCUGGCGUUCAUCAGGGCAAUCAACACGUGCUGCCUCCCCAUGCAACACACAGAAAAGAAUUCCAGAAAGUGGCUUUAGACAUCUAUACCCUUGCCAUGGCACCAUGCUCGGCAGAACGUACUCCUCCACUCCCCAAUCCUGGGCUUCACCAAAGGGAAGUUAGCAGAUGCAGCACAAGGAGCAGAGGCUUGAAGUAUACUCCCGCAGCUGAGCUUGCCUCUCGAGCUUCUGCCAUUGCAGUAGGAAGAA